rnacentral:rRNA from 1 species
UAGGGAAUCUUCGGCAAUGGACGGAAGUCUGACCGAGCAACGCCGCGUGAGUGAAGAAGGUUUUCGGAUCGUAAAGCUCUGUUGUAAGAGAAGAACGAGUGUGAGAGUGGAAAGUUCACACUGUGACGGUAUCUUACCAGAAAGGGACGGCUAACUACGUGCCAGCAGCCGCGGUAAUACGUAGGUCCCGAGCGUUGUCCGGAUUUAUUGGGCGUAAAGCGAGCGCAGGCGGUUAGAUAGGUCUGAAGUUAAAGGCUGUGGCUUAACCAUAGUAGGCUUUGGAAACUGUUUAACUUGAGUGCAAGAGGGGAGAGUGGAAUUCCAUGUGUAGCGGUGAAAUGCGUAGAUAUAUGGAGGAACACCGGUGGCGAAAGCGGCUCUCUGGCUUGUAACUGACGCUGAGGCUCGAAAGCGUGGGGAGCAAACAGGAUUAGAUACCCUGGUAGUCCACGCCGUAAACGAUGAGUGCUAGGUGUUAGACCCUUUCCGGGGUUUAGUGCCGUAGCUAACGCAUUAAGCACUCCGCCUGGGGAGUACGACCGCAAGGUUG